rnacentral:rRNA from 1 species
GACGAACGCUGGCGGCGUGCCUAAUACAUGCAAGUAGAACGCACAGUUUAUACCGUAGCUUGCUACACCAUAGACUGUGAGUUGCGAACGGGUGAGUAACGCGUAGGUAACCUGCCUGGCAGCGGGGGAUAACUAUUGGAAACGAUAGCUAAUACCGCAUAAUAUUAAUUAUUGCAUGAUAAUUAAUUGAAAGGUGCAAUUGCACCACUACCAGAUGGACCUGCGUUGUAUUAGCUAGUAGGUGAGGUAACGGCUCACCUAGGCGACGAUACAUAGCCGACCUGAGAGGGUGAUCGGCCACACUGGGACUGAGACACGGCCCAGACUCCUACGGGAGGCAGCAGUAGGGAAUCUUCGGCAAUGGACGAAAGUCUGACCGAGCAACGCCGCGUGAGUGAAGAAGGUUUUCGGAUCGUAAAGCUCUGUCGUAAGAGAAGAACGGGUGUGAGAGUGGAAAGUUCACACUGUGACGGUAUCUUACCAGAAAGGGACGGCUAACUACGUG